GGCCGUGUGGCGAAGAAGCAAACGCGACGGUCUGCAAAACCGUUAUACAUGGGUGCGAAUCCCAUCACGGCCU
rnacentral:tRNA from 1 species